rnacentral:lncRNA from 1 species
AGCCGUUCUGCCUUACAGGGUUGGGACCCCGGAAGCUUAUCGGCGCGGUUGCGGCCGCGGCUCCCUGUGUUUUGAUCAGAACACCACGUUCCUGCUUAACAGAAAUUGGUCAGUAUGCGCUUAAUGCUCAUAGUGUGGCGUCCGGACACGCAGCGAGAGAAAAACGCAAUAACCUGGUCCGUCAGCGUUGCUUGCUUCAGCAGGCCUUAAAUAUGUGCUGCAUCUUUUGGGGGACGUUACUUAAGAGGCAAACAUCUGGCUCGAAGUCUUCCAUUAUUUUCAGCAAGCAUUUAGGAGGUGACUGCACUAUAAGGAGAAUAACCCACAGUAGCACAGGUUGGGAGUCUGCACAGUGCCGAGGCCAGCUCAGUCUUCACUAUUCGAACGAAGGAAGCCUGGGGCAACUGUUUGUUUUCUCUGCCCUGCGUGUUAGUUGCCCGUUGUUUUUGGAGAAAAAACUAGUAUCGGGGUAUAUUGGUGGAAAAAUUUGGAUUUGGCAGCUUGAAGCCUUUUUUGCGACAAGCUUAGGUUAGGAAGGGAUAGAGGGGAGGAAAGAAAAAAUAAUUUUCGACCAUAGUAGAUCUGCGAAAGCAGACCUUCUGUUUGUCCUCUUAUCUAUAGUCUUUCCCUCACCCCCCACCCCUUGUCUCCUAAAAACCAGUCCAGACUUUCCCCGCCACCUCCGUCCUUGUAGCAGAUAACGUUGCUCCUUCCUUCAUGGAUAAAUUGAAGGCCAACAGACAAAAACUUUUCAACUCUUUGCUGCUCUGUCCGCUCUAAAUUUAUCUUUACACCUUCAGAGAAGAGCACCCUUCUGUUUUCCCCUCCUACCUCAAACCCAGUAGGUCAAAAUUCUUCCAUCAAUCAUUUUUACCCAUUCUAUCUCUCUCUUUCAUUUAUACAGAUUCCAAGCUGCCUUUCUUCUAAAAAAAAAAAAAAAAAAAAAGUAAAAAAACUCCUUUGACCUUGCCUUUCUAAAUGAAAUCUGUCUGUUGUUUUCAUGGCUGCACUUCUUGAAACCAUGUUCUACAAUUGCUACAUUUGCUUCUUAACCUUCUGUCUUCAGUCCAUAGCCCACCAAUCCACUGAAACUAUUCUAGCUAAGGCUACGAUACCCAAGCCUCCUAAUUGGCAGGUCUAAGGGACCCUUUCUGACAUAGGUGAUGUAAUUUACCACCAAUCUCUGUCACUUGUGACUGCUGUUUCCUCCCUGAACGUUUCUUCUCCCUGGUUCUUGUUCACAGCCCCUGAUAUUUCCUCCCAGGCUCUCUCUUCUGCCCACCCAGCAAAUGUUUUUGUUCCUUACAGUUCCCUCCUAAAUGUUCUCUGUUCUCUCACCGUGUUCUUCAUGAGUGAUGUAAUAAAUUCUCAAGGCUCUCAAAUCUGUAGUUCCAAUCUGAUGCUGUUUCCAGAGCUUCAGAUUCACAUUUUUAGUUGCCUUCUGGAUGUCACCUUGAAAUCAUUCAAAACUUCAAAUUCAGUAUUUGCAAACAAAACUGAUCAUCUUCUCUUCUUCCUCCAAGCUUACCCAUUUUUUCUUUUUAUCAAUAUGUUUAUUUAUUUAUUUUUUGAGACAGAGUCUUGCUCCGUUGCCCAGGCUGGAGUGCAGUGGCACGAUCUCGGCUCACUGCAACCUCCGCUUCCUGGGUUCAAGUGAUUCUCCUGCCUCAGCCUCCUCAGUAGCUGGGAUUACAGGUGCCCACCACCGCACCCAGCUAAUUUUUGUAUUUUCAGUAAAGAUGGGGUUUCACAAUGUUGGCCAGGCUGGUCUUGAACUCCUGACCUCAUGAUCCACCUGCCUCGGCCUCCCAAAGUGCUGGGAUUACAGGCGUGAGCCACUGUGCCUGGCUCAUCAGUAUGUUUAGUUGCUCACUUCAGAACUCUCAGAGUCAUCCUUGACUACUAUUUCAUCCAUUCAAUACCAAAUACUUACUUUUUACUUAUCCAGUGACAGGCACUGUACUAGGUGGUAGAGAUGUGGUGGUGAAGAAAAGAGACAGAGUGGAAGAGACAGACAAAAACUUAGCAAAAAAAAUUAUAAUUUCAAACUGUGAUAAGUACCGGUGAAGGAAGCACAGUACUGAGAUAUGAACAAUGGUGGUAGGAAGCAGGUGGGGCACCUGCUUUUGAGAAUGUAGUCAGGUAAGCCUCUUUUAGGAGGUAUCAUUUAAAUUAGGGCCUGAAGAAUGAGGCAUCGGUUAAGGUACAUUGAAGCAAACAAGGACUGUCUGUAAACUGAAGUAAACGAACCUCUCUUUAGGAAAUUCAGAAGAAAGAAAAUUAUCUCGAGGAAGUUGGUCAGAAGAAAAUGGGCAGAUCAUGAAAUGUUAGUUGUCCCCCAAAGUCGGUUCUCCCCUUUUACAGUGCUAAUACAUUGCUACUUGGGCACAUGAAUCCCAGCUAGAGACCACAUUGCCUGAAUUUCCUUACAACCAAGUGUGGUCAAGUUCUCACUAAUGGAAUAUGAAUGAAAGUUGUAUGUGUCCUCUGCAUCACUUGCUUAAAAAGAAAUCGGUUGCCCUCUACUUUGGCCCUCUUGGCCUUUCCAGCGCUAGGUGGCGCCAGUGCAGAUCCACUGCAGUGCCCCACCUUUAACCAUGCAAAUUAGGAAAAAUACCUAGGGUCGAGGAAAGAAACCAGUGAAUGCAGAAGGGGCAGGAUUGGAAAACAAAACAAAACAAAACAAAACAAAAAAAAAAAAACAACCAAACCAAACCAAAAUAAAACCAAAACAGCAGAGUCCAUGGAUGAAUUAAUGAAGCUGAUCCACCCUAUAGCCUCCACCACUCCUACCUCUGGACUGUUAGAUGAGAAAUAAGCUUCCAUCUUAAUUCAAUCACUAUAUUUUGGGGUCUCUUUAUUAUUACAGCAUACUCUGUACUCUAACUAAUAGAGGGAGGUUCCCAGAAGAAAAUCCUGGAUAAGCAGAACUCAGAGCAGGAACCAAAAGAGCUCCAGGUAUCUACAGGGCACCCCAAUGGGAUGAACCAUCCUCAGUAUCCUCUAAGAAGAGUCUGAUUUUCUAGUUUGAGUUCUGUAUUCUUCUACAAUCUGUAUUUAUAUGCAUACCUAUUUUUAUUUUUGUUAUUUAUUUAUUUUUUGAGACGAAGUUUCGCUCCGCUUGCCCAAGCCAGAGUGCAAUGGUGUGAUCUCAGCUCAUUGCAACCUCCGCCUCCUGGGUUCAAGUGAUUCUCCUGCCUCAGCCUCCAGAGCAGCUGGGAUUACAGGCACGUGCCACCAUGCCCAGCUAAUUUUUUGUAUUUUUAGUAGAAACGGGGUUUCACCAUGUUAGCCAGGCUGGUCUCGAACUCCUGAUCUUAGGUGAUCCACCCGCCUCAGCCUCCCAAAGUGCUGGGCUUACAGGCAUGAGCCACCACGCCCGGCCAUGCAUACCUAUUUUUAUUAUAAUUAUGUUGUAAAUAAAACAUCUGUGUCUUGCUUUUCUUUCCCACAUGUUACUAUGUUUUUGGUGGCAGUAUAAUCUUUUAUUAUUAUUAUUAUUUGAGACAGAGUCUUGCUCUGUCUCCCAGGGUGGAGUGCAGUAGCGCGUCUCAGCUCACUGCAACCACCACCUUCCCAGUUCAAAUGAUUCUCCUGCUUUAGCCUCCUGAGUAGCUGGGACUACAGGCAGGCUUCACCACACCCAGCUAAUUUUUGUAUUUUUAGUAGAGAUGGGGGUUUCACCAUGUUGGCCAGGCUGGUCUCGAACUCCUGGCCUCAGGUGAUCUGCCCGCCUCCCAAAGUGCCGGGAUUACAGGUGUGAGCCACUGCUCCCGGCCAGGUGGCCCUAUAAUCUUUUGAUUUGGUGCAUCAUAAUUUAUGACUAUUUAAAUUGAACCACUAUCAGUCACACUAAUCACUUUACUAUUCUAUAUAUUUCACCUUUAUUGUUUUAUGAAUUAGUGAUCGGCAUAGUAUCCAGUGCUAAGUCAGUUAUGCACAACCUCGAAUCAGCCGUUUGCUUUUUUUUUUUUUUUUUUUUUUUUUGAGACGGAGUCUCGCUCUGUCGCCAAAGCUGUAGUGCAGUGACGCGAUCCCAGCUCACUGCAAGCUUCGGCUCCCGGGUUCACGCCAUUCUCCUGCCUCAGCCUCUCGAGUAGCUAGCUGGGACUACAGGAGCCCGCCACCACGCC